rnacentral:rRNA from 1 species
UACGUAGGGGGCGAGCGUUGUCCGGAGUUACUGGGCGUAAAGGGCAUGCAGGCGGUCAGACGCGUUUUGUGUGACAGCGGAGGACUUCACUCUCCGAGCAUACGAAAGACGGUGUGACUUGAGGGCUCGAGAGGGACACGGAAUUCCGGGUGGAGUGGUGAAAUGCGUAGAGAUCCGGAGGAACACCGAAGGCGAAGGCAGUGUCCUGGCGAGUAUCCUGACGCUGAGGUGCGAAAGCCAGGGGAGCGAACGGG